ACGCGUAUCCAACCUGCCCACCACUUGGGGAUAACCUUGCGAAAGUAAGACUAAUACCCAAUGACGUCUCUAGAAGACAUCUGAAAGGGAUUAAAGAUUUAUCGGUGAUGGAUGGGGAUGCGUCUGAUUAGCUUGUUGGCGGGGUAACGGCCCACCAAGGCGACGAUCAGUAGGGGUUCUGAGAGGAAGGUCCCCCACAUUGGAACUGAGACACGGUCCAAACUCCUACGGGAGGCAGCAGUGAGGAAUAUUGGUCAAUGGACGAGAGUCUGAACCAGCCAAGUAGCGUGCAGGAAGACGGCCCUAUGGGUUGUAAACUGCUUUUAUAAGGGAAUAAAGUGAGUCUCGUGAGACUUUUUGCAUGUACCUUAUGAAUAAGGACCGGCUAAUUCCGUGCCAGCAGCCGCGGUAAUACGGAAGGUCCGGGCGUUAUCCGGAUUUAUUGGGUUUAAAGGGAGCGUAGGCCGGAGAUUAAGCGUGUUGUGAAAUGUAGACGCUCAACGUCUGCACUGCAGCGCGAACUGGUUUCCUUGAGUACGCACAAAGUGGGCGGAAUUCGUGGUGUAGCGGUGAAAUGCUUAGAUAUCACGAAGAACUCCGAUUGCGAAGGCAGCUCACUGGAGCGCAACUGACGCUGA
rnacentral:rRNA from 1 species